rnacentral:rRNA from 1 species
GAGUUUGAUCCUGGCUCAGAGCGAACGCUGGCGGCAGGCUUAACACAUGCAAGUCGAGCGGGCGUAGCAAUACGUCAGCGGCAGACGGGUGAGUAACGCGUGGGAACGUACCUUUUGGUUCGGAACAACACAGGGAAACUUGUGCUAAUACCGGAUAAGCCCUUACGGGGAAAGAUUUAUCGCCGAAAGAUCGGCCCGCGUCUGAUUAGCUAGUUGGUGAGGUAACGGCUCACCAAGGCGACGAUCAGUAGCUGGUCUGAGAGGAUGAUCAGCCACAUUGGGACUGAGACACGGCCCAAACUCCUACGGGAGGCAGCAGUGGGGAAUAUUGGACAAUGGGCGCAAGCCUGAUCCAGCCAUGCCGCGUGAGUGAUGAAGGCCCUAGGGUUGUAAAGCUCUUUUGUGCGGGAAGAUAAUGACGGUACCGCAAGAAUAAGCCCCGGCUAACUUCGUGCCAGCAGCCGCGGUAAUACGAAGGGGGCUAGCGUUGCUCGGAAUCACUGGGCGUAAAGGGUGCGUAGGCGGGUCUUUAAGUCAGGGGUGAAAUCCUGGAGCUCAACUCCAGAACUGCCCUUGAUACUGAGGAUCUUGAGUUCGGGAGAGGUGAGUGGAACUGCGAGUGUAGAGGUGAAAUUCGUAGAUAUUCGCAAGAACACCAGUGGCGAAGGCGGCUCACUGGCCCGAUACUGACGCUGAGGCACGAAAGCGUGGGGAGCAAACAGGAUUAGAUACCCUGGUAGUC